AGCAUCCUCCCCUUCAUCCUGCGCCAGCUCCAAGUCAUCAGCAUUAUCUGCUUCACCAACUUGCUCUUCCUGUCACACAAACAAAAGCCACAGAUCAGACUUUGGACAAAAGAAGACAGGACAAAUGGCCUGAUUCAGAGAAGUACGCAAAGCUGAUGUUUCGCAGAACUGAGCAAUUAUCAACACACUGCGCAUGUGCUGCGUUCGCAUUGUACAUGCAUCAAGAUAUCCUGGUUACUUUAAAACAUGCAUGUGAUAGCUUGGAGGUUCCCACCAAGAUCCCCAGCUCUUGACGAGGAAUGGACACCACGUCUUGUGGGCACUGGACGACAGAUUUGCUAAACCGCAUAGUGUGUAGAAUUAUUGUCUGCUUUUAACAAAGCUUUUCUGUCCUCCUGUGUCCAGGUAGUCAGUUUGCU